UACGUAGGGUGCAAGCGUUGUCCGGAAUUAUUGGGCGUAAAGAGCUCGUAGGCGGUUUGUCGCGUCUGCUGUGAAAACUCGGGGCUUAACCCCGGGCCUGCAGUGGAUACGGGCAGGCUAGAGGCAGGUAGGGGAGAACGGAAUUCCCGGUGUAGCGGUGAAAUGCGCAGAUAUCGGGAGGAACACCGGUGGCGAAGGCGGUUCUCUGGGCCUGUACUGACGCUGAGGAGCGAAAGCGUGGGGAGCGAACAGG
rnacentral:rRNA from 1 species